AUUCAAAUAAAAAUUUUAAAAAAAAAAAAUUUUUAUGAAAAAGAGAAAUACAAAAAGAAGACAAUGGAGCAGAGCUCUCGUCGUAAAGAUGCCAAUCGGAAAUAACUCGUCGAUCAUCUGUUUAUAUGCGUAUGUAUAUAUCUUGUUACUCCUACUACUAAAUUAUAGUUUUCUUCCUCUUUGUGUGUUACCACGUAUAAGGUGAUGAGGUUUCCCAGGGACGAAUAGCAAGGACUUUAAGAGAAACUUCCAAAGUGUUUAUUCUUUUCAACCAACCAACCCCCUUGGAAACCCCUGCCAGGAGGACGUAUGGAAAAGGGUUGGAAAAACCAAAAGGCGUUGAAACGAUUUCCACGUGAUUAUUAAAAUUUCUUCCAGACGAGGACCAAAUAGGGCAAACAUUUAUUACAGUUGUACACAGCAAGUGUGUGUGCUGUAGACCCGACUUUGUGCAAGAGGACACCGGUAUGGAAUACACUACAAGAAAGGCUCAUCUUUCCUACUGCUGAUGGGGGGUCAAGGAAGACCGCCGAGCUUUGGCUUUUUUCUUUUUCCCCCUUCAUUUUUUGGACUAUAAAAAUGUUUUUCGGGGGUGUAUAGAUGUAAACCAGAAAAAUUCGGUGUGACUGGGAAUGUUUUCACAAACAUCGUCCCAUGAGCAUCGUGUUCACUCCCAGCACCCAACAACCAAAUGAAAUCCAGCGCAGGAUUUUUAUUUUUUUCAAAUUUUCGACAAAAAUAGACGGUGACUGAAUUUUGUAUAAACUAUAUGAUCGUGUUGAAAUCAUCGCUCAAAGAUGUGAUCUCAAUAGAUAAAAGAAAAAAGCUUUUGUGCUGGCCAACGGUGACGCACUGUGAUAAGCAAUUCGGUUACUAUUUGAACGACCCCAACACGGCCAGAGCAACAGCAAACAAGACGUGUGUGUAGGCGAAAGUGGACAAUGGAUUCCAUUGGGAAGAAAAGAAGAAGAAGAAAAGUCCAGCACCUUAAAGAGGAGGUCCAUCUGUGUAGGGGAGACGGGCGAAAUCGAACAGCCAGGUCAUUCAUCUCAGUCAAAGAAUCCGAAAAAGAUAAACUGCCCAGACGGAGCAAACUCGCCCCUUUUCGUCCUAACCGAUUUUUCUUCAAAUGUGACGUCAUUAUGUCGCCGUCCGUGUGGAUCACGGCCAAGAAGAAAAGAAGAAAAAAAAAAAAACAGUUUUGACUGAGAAUAAUUAGAGGUGCGUUUCUAUGGGGAUAGGGAGACAAGGACGAUGGCCUUUAAUGGCCUCAAAACGGACUGUUAUGAGUUUCGCCUUCGGAUUAUUAAGGAGUGAGAAAAACACAAACUGGGAACGUCGGUCCCUUGAAAUUUUCCUCCACGGAAAGAAAACCCAACACACUCGUUUUGUUUGUCCGAGCAUUCCGGAAUCUGUUCAAACACAUGGCGCGGUAAAAUAAAGUUAAGGACAUUCCAGGAAGGAAAAGAUUUACACCCAAAUGGUAAUAUACAGCGGCAUCUUCUCCCACGGGAUCAAAAGUCGUCGGCAUUUCGUUUAUGUCCACUCUAUCCUCAAUAUAAGUUUAGACAUGUUCUUAAUCAACACACCGUAUGGAUCCAAUCUCUCCCCUCUUCCCAGCUGGAACAAUUCAUAUCAAGUCGGAAACUAAUAUAUAAAUUACCCCGCAGGAUCAAUUAGUGUCGACAAGGACGACACCCCCUCACAAAAAAAGGUCAAGUAUUUUUUCUUACCCCCUCAAAAAACAUUUUCUUCGUUUUUAAAAAAAGAAAAUAAAAAAAAUUCCCAGUUUAUUGUGUGUAGGUUUCCUUUUGUCACCCGACCCCUUUGAAAUCCGACAACUCUGCUGUGGUGGUGGGACUAUAAGGGGGGAAAGAAAAACGAUUUAAGAAAAAAUAAAAACAGCGUCGUGACCGAUGGACAAGGACUUUUUUUUCUUCUUUCUUUGAGGGUAUUUCGUGUUGUUUUCUUUUGUUGGUGCCACUGUGCCACCAAGUGAAUGUGUGGACCCCAUUAUUAUUUUCGAACAAAAAUCUUAUAUAGGUGGGUAAUAUAGGUAGAGAUAUAACCUAGCUGGAGGCAAGGUCUUUUGCAGAAGGUGUCGGUUAGUUGUUUGACCGACUUUCGUCUCUCAGGUGCAACUUCCCGUGUGUGUGUGUGUGUGUAUGUGCAACAGCAGUCAGGUGCUCCCGUCACGACGAAAUGGAAUUUGAAGCUGCUGCCGUUCCACUUUAAUA